GUAGGUGGCAAGCGUUGUCCGGAAUUAUUGGGCGUAAAGCGCGCGCAGGCGGUCCUUUAAGUCUGAUGCGAAAGCCCACGGCUCAACCGUGGAGGGUCAUUGGAAACUGGGGGACUUGAGUACAGAAGAGGAAAGCGGAAUUCCAAGUGUAGCGGUGAAAUGCGUAGAGAUUUGGAGGAACACCAGUGGCGAAGGCGGCUUUCUGGUCUGUAACUGACGCUGAGGCGCGAAAGCGUGGGGAGCAAACAGGGAUUAGAUACCCUGGUAGUCCACGCCGUAAACGAUGAGUGCUAAGUGUUAGGGGGUUUCCCGCCCCUUAGUGCUGCAGCUAACGCAUUAAGCACUCCGCCUGGGGAGUACGGCCGCAAGGCUG
rnacentral:rRNA from 1 species